UACGGAGGGUCCGAGCGUUGUCCGGAAUUAUUGGGCGUAAAGAGCUCGUAGGCGGUUUGUCGCGUCGGUGGUGAAAACUCACAGCUCAACUGUGGGCGUGCGGGCGAUACGGGCAGACUGGAGUACUGCAGGGGAGACUGGAAUUCCUGGUGUAGCGGUGGAAUGCGCAGAUAUCAGGAGGAACACCAGUGGCGAAGGCGGGUCUCUGGACAGUUCCUGACGCUGAGGCACGAAGGCCAGGGGAGCAAACGGG
rnacentral:rRNA from 1 species